rnacentral:rRNA from 1 species
UACGUAGGAGGCAAGCGUUGUCCGGAAUUACUGGGCGUAAAGCGCGUGUAGGUGGUGGGACAAGUCUGCUGUGAAAGCGCCUGGCUUAACCGGGCGAGGUCGGCGGAAACUGUCCGACUCGAGGACGGUAGAGGGGGGUGGAAUUCCCGGUGUAGUGGUGAAAUGCGCAGAUAUCAGGAGGAACACCGGUGGCGAAGGCGGGUCUCUGGGCCGAUACUGACGCUGAGGAGCGAAAGCGUGGGGAGCGAACAGG